rnacentral:rRNA from 1 species
UUGACAUCCAGCGAACUUGGCAGAGAUGCCUUGGUGCCUUUCGGGAACGCUGAGACAGGUGCUGCAUGGCUGUCGUCAGCUCGUGUUGUGAAAUGUUGGGUUAAGUCCGCAACGAGCGCAACCCUUAUCCUUUGUUGCCAGCGAUUCGGUCGGGAACUCAAAGGAGACUGCCGGUGAUAAACCGGAGGAAGGUGGGGAUGACGUCAAGUCAUCAUGGCCCUUACGAGUAGGGCUACACACGUGCUACAAUGGCGCAUACAAAGAGAAGCGACCUCGCGAGAGCAAGCGGACCUCAUAAAGUGCGUCGUAGUCCGGAUCGGAGUCUGCAACUCGACUCCGUGAAGUCGGAAUCGCUAGUAAUCGUGGAUCAGAAUGCCACGGUGAAUACGUUCCCGGGCCUUGUACACACCGCCCGUCACACCAUGGGAGUGGGUUGCAAAAGAAGUAGGUAGCUUAACCUUCGGGAGGGCGCUUACCACUUUGUGAUUCAUGACUGGGGUGAAGUCGUAACAAGGUAAGCGUACGUGU